rnacentral:rRNA from 1 species
CGGUCCAUACUCCUACGGGAGGCAGCAGUGAGGAAUCUUCCGCAAUGGGCGAAAGCCUGACGGAGCAACACCGCGUGAAGGAUGAAGGUCGUAAGACUGUAAACUUCUUUUCUGAGGGAAGAAUUCUGACGGUACCUCAGGAAUAAGCAUCGGCUAACUACGUGCCAGCAGCCGCGGUAAGACGUAGGAUGCAAGCGUUAUCCGGAAUUAUUGGGCAUAAAGAGUUCGUAGGCGGUUUGUUAAGUUGGAUGUUAAAUUUUUGAGCUCAACUUAAAAAAAGUAUCCAAAACUGGCAAACUGGAGACUGGUAGAGGUAAGUGGAAUUCUGCAUGUAGGGGUAAUAUCCGUAGAUAUGCAGAGGAACACCAAAAGCGAAGGCAGCUUACUGGACCAGUUCUGACGCUCAAGAACGAAAGCGUGGGUAGCGAACGGGAUUAGAUACCCCGGUAGUCCACGCCCUAAACGAUGAACACUAGGUAUUGGAGGUCUCGACCCCUUCAGUGCCGACGCAAAUGCAAUAAGUGUUCCGCCUGGGUAGUACGAGCGCAAGCUUAAAACUCAAAGGAAUAGACGGGGACCCACACAAGCGGUGGAGCAUCUGGUUUAAUUCGACAAUAAGCGAGGAACCUUACCAAGGCUUGACAUCCCGAGAAGAUCGCCGAAAGGUGAUUGUGCCGUUAGGAACUCGGUGACAGGUGCUGCAUGGUUGUCGUCAGCUCGUGCCUUGAGGUGUUCGGUUAAGUCCGUGAACGAGCGCAACCCUUGUCUCAAGUUGCAUAUUUCUUGAGAGACUGCCGGGUUUCAAAUCGGAGGAAGGUAAGGAUGACGUCAAAUCAGCAUGGCCCUUAUGUCUUGGGCGACACAGGUGCUACAAUGGCCGGUACAAUGGGCAGCGAAGGAGCAAUCUGGAGCANAUCCUCAAAACCGGUCCAAGUUCGAAUUGAAGGCUGCAACUCGCCUUCAUGAAGUUGGAAUCGCUAGUAACCGCAUAUCAGCCAUGGUGCGGGAAUCCGUUCCUGGGUCUUGUACUCACCGCCCGUCAAGUCAUGAAAGAUGG